rnacentral:rRNA from 1 species
AGGGUGAACGCUGGCGGCGUGCUUAAGACAUGCAAGUCGAACGGAUGCUUUCGGGCAUCAGUGGCGCACGGGUGAGUAACGCGUAACUGACCUACCUCCAAGUUCAGCAUAACGUCUCGAAAGAGACGCUAAUUCUGAAUGUGAUCCCGGAUCGUGUUCCGUGAUUAAAGAAUUUCGCUUGGAGUAUGGGGUUGCGUUCCAUCAGCCUGGUUGGUGGGGUAAAGCCUACCAAGGCGACGACGGA